rnacentral:misc_RNA from 1 species
UGUCUUUCCAAUAAAGAAUGAAAAUAACUACCUGCAAAAAUUAUAUAACGUCUAUGGCGGCCUCCUGUACUUUCUUUUAGCAUUAAAAAAUUGUUAAACAACUCCACUUUCCAUUUCUACCUCAACAUUCCUUAGGACUCCGAAGUUAUGAGCAUAGCAGAGCAAAAUGCUGUCUCUUUUCUUCAUCUGGGUUAUUUAAUGUGGAUUACAAAUUUAGAGGAAAAGGCCAAAAUGAAGAUUUCGGUCCUCCGAUACUGAUGCUAGAUAAUAGAAACGUUUGUAGAUUAGUUUUUUGAGUUCGCUUGCUUUAUAUAUGUGGCAAUAUGACUUCUUGUUGUUGACUUAAAACUUUCUUUGCUUUAAUAUGCUCCCAAG